CACAUUUGUUCAUUCACUGGAUUUCCCAAGUGAGCCCCUUUCCCCAGGUGCCUGGAUGCUGCCUGUGAUCUGCAGCUGCCUCCACCUCAUCCCAUGAGGUAUCCUUAAGGAUGAAAGCAGCAUUUCCAGAAGAACAACAAGUGCUGGGUGGCCGGAGGGAAAACCAUUCCAUACUGCAAACACCACUUUGCCACCAAGGAGGAAACUGAAUUGGGGGAAGUGAAAUAACUUGCCUGAAGCCACCGACAGACCUGGGAACUAAACUCUGGCCUCCUUCAUGUGCCAGAUCCUGGAGCAGAGGCUCACGAGGUUUUCGGAUCCAGGAAUCAGCUCAUGCCUGCAGCGUAUAAACUGCCUUUUUGGUGUGGCGAGGACAGACCUGCAGGUCCAAACACAGAUGUGCCAGCCAAGCCUGUCCGAACAGAGGUUCAGCCAGCAUUUGUGCAGACCCUGGAGCUCUACACCAUCAAGAAACUGCAUUUUCCUGUGAAAUGCUGCACAAUCCAAACAGCAAAAUGCCCCAGAACAGCUUUGAACCUGCUGCUGGGGUUUACCACUACUCCCUCAUGCCAGAAGGAAGGAGAAACCAUUUUGAUCACCACCCUUGAACCAGCUGCACCUCAGAUGCAAUACCAUGACGGUGACCCAUCUGAUGAGGCCAUUACACAAAGGUGAUGUGCUUUGGUUUGGUUUUU
rnacentral:lncRNA from 14 species